UACGAACGCAAGUCUGAAACUCAAAGGAAUUGACGGGGGCCCGCACAAGCGGUGGAUUAUGUGGUUUAAUUCGAUGAUACGCGAGGAACCUUACCAAGGCUUAAAUGGGAAUUGAUCGGUUUAGAAAUAGACCUUCCUUCGGGCAAUUUUCAAGGUGCUGCAUGGUUGUCGUCAGCUCGUGCCGUGAGGUGUUAGGUUAAGUCCUGCAACGAGCGCAACCCCUGUCACUAGUUGCCAUCAUUCAGUUGGGGACUCUAGUGAGACUGCCUACGCAAGUAGAGAGAAAGGUGGGGAUGACGUCAAAUCAUCACGGCCCUUACGCCUUGGGCCACACACGUAAUACAAUGGCCGGUACAGAGGGCAGCUACACAGCGAUGUGAUGCAAAUCUCGAAAGCCGGUCUCAGUUCGGAUUGGAGUCUGCAACUCGACUCUAUGAAGCUGGAAUCGCUAGUAAUCGCGCAUCAGCCAUGGCGCGGUGAAUACGUUCCCGGGCCUUGUACACACCGCCCGUCAAGCCAUGGAAGUCUGGGGUACCUGAAGUCGGUGACCGUAGAAGGAGCUGCCUAGGGUAAAACAGGUAACUAGGGCUAAGUCGUAACAAGG
rnacentral:rRNA from 1 species